UAAGAAUAGAAAAGCAGCAUUCUGAACAGCAAUGCUCAUCACAUAAACAUGAAGUUUCCUCCAAAAGGAAUGAUGACUAAUGCUUUGAGGAAACAGCAGACGUCAGACAGCAAGCCCAGAAAAACCUGCCAGCACCAAGAGGGUGUCCUCAACAGGCGCCUGGGGGACAUAUUAUUCUAACUAAAGAGACCAGAGCUUCCCCAGGAAGGGAAGAGGAGAGAAAUGAAGAACGUCUGUGUUCAUGUUUGCCAAAAACAAAAGUCUGAGAAAUCUCUGAGAGACUCUACAUGGGAGGGCACUAAUCGAAGCACCUCAUUUAAAGUGAGAAAAGCUUUGCUAAGGGCAGAUGAUUCAGCACGGUAUCCUUCGAUGAGUACUGUCAUCUCAAAUCCUUUUUAAGAAGAAAAGUGCAACCCACUGGAGAAAGAGAGGGACUCCGAGGAAGGAGAGAGAGAAGAGCAUCAAGCACAAAUGAUGAUCUCCUAGGACAGUGGCAGCUUCUGAGAAUGCACAGGAAAGUGACCAGGGAAAGAAUGAUUCCAUCUCCAGGAAUCCCUGGUGAUCUUCAGAGCCCAGACAGGACCCUGCUGGGCCAUGGUAACUGAGAAACUGAGAAGCAGAUACAGUGGUCCCUAUGUUGGCAACCUCAGCUGAAGAGGAACAACUCUCUCUAUAAUCAAGGACUUCUGAAACCAGAAAUCACCAGCGUGGGGAGAGAACAUUAAAGGCAGAGGUGUCUCUUAUAAGCACAACGUGUGACCAGAACUUGGAUUACUGUCAGCUUCUAGUGUCUCCAUCAUUCAUAAUUGCACUGUGUUGGUCCACCCACUUUACUCCUAAAGAAGAGGUAAGAAACAGAAGAGGAGAUCACAGUGGCUCUUCAACUAUUAAUAUACCACAGACUUCAAUAACAAAUGAAGAGAAACAAGAAAAGAAAGCAAUGCAAAAAGAACGGUACUGCCCUCUUUCUCUCCUGAACCAUCAAUAAAUCAAGGGUAGAUAAUAGCCUAAAUCAGUAUUUCUCCAGUUUUUUCACUAGCAUCUUCCCCAGUGAACCAUUUUAAAUAGUUUUUCCUAAUUGUCCAAAUAUGAAAUGUUAAUGCACU
rnacentral:lncRNA from 10 species